rnacentral:misc_RNA from 1 species
UUAAGGCUUAGUUGUUGUUAUUGUAUUACACAUAUUUGAAAUUGAAAUGAUCAUGGCUAUAAGUUUCAUAGCGAUAUUAAAAUGAAACUUGGGCAAAAUGAAGAGUUAGUAAAUAUUUAUCAGCUCACACCCAUUUAUAACAAAAUGUAGGUAAACAGCAAAGAGAACAAGAGAAAGGGAUGAAACUCCUAUAGAAGGGAAAGGAAAGAAUAAUUAACUAUAUAUUGUACAAAAGC